AGCUAUGGUCGUACCGCCUUGAACGCGCCCAAUCAUGUCUAACCUCAGAAGCUAAGCAGGGUCAGGCCUGGUUAGUACGUGGAUGGGGGACACUCGUCUGGAUACCAGAUUCCCUGUGUA
rnacentral:rRNA from 1 species